rnacentral:lncRNA from 10 species
UGUGGUGAAAUCCCAUCUCUACAAAAAAUACAAAAAAAUUAGCUAGACUUGGUGGCACAUGCCUGUACUCCCAGCUACUCAGGAUACUGAGGUGGAGGAUUGCUUGGGCCCAGAAGGCAGAGGUUGAGCUGAGAUUGUGGCACUGCAUUCCAGCCUGGGAGACAGAGCAAGACUCUGUAAAACAAAACAAAACAAAACAACAACAAAAACCCCAAACCAACAAUCUACCUGGGACUGGGGAAUUUAUAAAGAAAAGAGGUUUACUUGACUCAUGGUUCUGCAGGUUGUAGAGGAAACAUGGCUGGGUAGGCCUCGGGAAACUUACAGUUAUGGCAGAAGGUUAAGGAGAAGUUGGCACAUCUUCACAUGGCAGAACAGGAGAGAGAGAAUGAAGGGGGAAGCACUACACACUUUUAAACAACCAGAUCUCAUAAGAACUAAUUCACUAUCACAAGAACAGCAAGGUAAACAUCUGCCCCCGUGAUCCAAUCACCUGCCACUAGGCCCCAUCUUCAACACAUGGGUAUUACAGUUCAACAUGAGAUUUGGGUGGGGACACAGAGCCAAACCAUAUCAAUCUCUUUAUAUAUUUUUCCAGUGGUUGUUCCAAAGAAUAUAUGUAUAUAAUAUUAUGAUAGUAUAUAUAUACACACAUAUACAUGUAUAUGUGUGUAUAUAUAUACACAUACUGUUAGUUUAUCUGGAUUUAAUAUUUAACAACUUCAAGUAAAAUGUUGAAGACUGGCAACCAUACAGGUUUCUUUACUCUCUCUCUUUAUGUUAUAGUUGUCGUCUGUAUUACAUUUGGAUACAUUGACACCCUCCCAAACAGUGUUACAAUUUUUGCAUUCGUUCCUUCUAUACCCAGUUUUUGGAGGUUUUUUUUUUUAUCACGAAGGGAUAUUGAAUUUUAUCAAAUAUUUUUUCAGCAUCAAUUGGAGUGAUUAUUGUUUUUAUCUUUCACUCUGUUGAUAUGAUGUAUCACAUUGAUUUGCAUAUGUUGGACCAUUUUUGCAUCCCAGGGAUAAAUCUUACUUGGUCAUGGUGAAUGAUAUUUCUAAUGUAUUGUUGAAUUUCGUUUGUAGUAUUUUUUUUGAGAAUUUUUGCAUCAAUACUAAUCAGAGCUAUUGGCCUGUAGUUUUCUUUUUUCUGAUGUGUCUUUGUCUGGUUUUGGUAUCAGGGCAAUACUGGCUUCAAAGAAUGAGUUUGGAAGUAUUCCCUGCUCCUCUAUUUUUGGAAGAGUUUGAGUAAGAUUGGUCUUAGUUCUUUAAAUAUUUGGUAGAAUUCAGCAGUGAAGCCAUGGGUUCCAGGCUUUUCUUGACUGGAAGACUUUUUAUUAUGGCUUCAAUCUUGUUACUUAUUAUUGGUCUGUUCAUGUUUUAUACUUCUUCCUGGUUCAAUCUUGGUAGGUUGCAUGUGUCUAGGAGUUUGUCCAUUUCUUCUAGGCUUUCCAAUUUACUGGCAUACAGUUGCUCACAGUAGCUACUAAUGAUCCUUUGAAUUUCUGCAGUAUCAUUUGUAUUAUCUCCUUUUUCAUUUCUGAUUUUAUUAAUUUGCAUCUUCUCUCUUUUUUCUUACUCUGGCUAAAGGUUUGUCAAUUUUGUUUAACUUUUUAAAAACCCAACUUUUUGUUUCAUUGCUCUUUUGUACUGUUUUCUUUAUUUCUACUCUGAUCUUUAUUACUUCUUUUCUACUAAUUUUGGAUUUGGUUUGCUCUUGAUUUUCUAAUUCUUCAAGAUGUAUCAUUAGAUUAUUUGAAGUUUUUCCUCUUUUUUGAUGUAGACACUUAUGUCCAUAUACUGCCCUCUUAAUACUGCUCUCGCUGUAUCCAGUAGGUUUUGGUAUGUUGUGUUUCCAUUAUCAUUCAGGAGCAUAUUGUUGCAUUUCCAUGUUUUUGUAUGGUUUCCAAAAUUCCUCUUGUUAUUAAUUUCCAGUUUUUUCAUUCAUGGUCAGAUAAGAUGCUUGAUAUGAUUUCAAUUUUUUGAAUGUUUUAAAACUUGUUUUGUGACCUAACAUAUGGUCUAUCCUUGAAAAUGAUCUAUGUGCUGAGAAAAAGAAUGUAUAUUCUGCAGCUGUUUGAUAAAAUGUUUUGUAAAUAUCUAUUAGAUCCAUUUGGUCUAUAGUGCAGAUGAAGUUUGAUGUUUUUCUUUUUCUUUUCUUUCUUCCUUUUUUUUUUUUUUUUUAAGAUGGCGUUUCACUCUUGUUGCCCAGGCUGGAGUGCAAUGGCAUGAUCUUGGCUCAUUGCAACCUCCGCCUCAUGGGUUCAAGCGAUUCUCCUGCCUCAGCCUCCCAAGUAGCUGAGAUUACAGGUGCCCACCACCAUGCUAGAGAAAUAGUUGAAAACUGUAUGGUAGUAAAAGACAUUAACUUAUGUAUUGCAGUCUAUGUCAGAUCGUGUAGAUUAGACAAAAAAUUAGUUCCUUUGCAGACCUCUCCCUAAAGCCAUCACAAUGCCAACUCCCCAGAGCCAACCAUUUUCAACACUUUCAGUUAUUUUUAAAUGAUAAAAAUUCAAAUGCAGUGAUUCUAGAAGUAUGGUCCAGUGGUUUCUGGAAGUCUCCAAAAUCUUUUAGUUAGGAUUCCUUAAAGGGAGAUCAAAGUUGAGGUAAAAACUAGAUACUGUUUAGACCAUUUACAUUUAAUGUAAUUAUAUGUUUGAAUUUAGGUCUUCCAUUUUAUUAUUUGUGUUUUCUUCCUGUCUGUCUUCUCUUUCCUGCCUUUUGUAUUAUUUGAACUUUCUUUUUUUUUUUUUUUUUUUUUAGCAUUCCAUCUGAAUUUAUUUUGAUUUUAACCAUAUCUUUUCAUAUAAAAUUUUAGUGGUUGCUCUAGGGAUUUAAAAAAAUACAAACUUAACACUUUAAUGGCAAUUUAUAAUCAGCAUUUUACCACUUUAAUUGGAAUGUGUAAAACUUACCAGUAGGUUUCCUUUCUCGUUUAUGUAUUACAUCUGCACACAUUGAAAACUCCAUCAGACAAUGUUAUACCCUGUGCUUUCAAACAUCAGAUAUGUUUUAAAGUACUCAAAAAGAGAAGAACAGUCUAUUAUAUUUACCCAGAUACUUGCCAUUUCUGUUGUUCCCUUUUAUUACUGAAGUUCUGAGAUUUCUUCUUGGAUCAUUUCCUUUCAGCCUGAAGAACUUGUUUAGCAAAUCUCUUAAGUAGGUACACUGGUCAGAAUUCUCUUAGUUUUCCUUCAUCUAAGAAUGUAUUUAUUUCACAGAAUUCUCAGUUUAUAGUUCCUUCCCUCCUUCCUUCCUUCCUUCUCUCCUUUAAAAUGUUGUUCUACUUCCUUCUGGUCUCCGCAGUUUCUGAUGAAAAAUCUAUAGUUAUUCAAAUUGAAAAUCCUCUAUUGACAAUGCACUGUUUUUCUGUGGCUGCUUUAAAACUUUUUUCAUUCUUUUUAUUUUUCAACAAUUUCAUUGUGAUGCAUCUAUGCAUAAUUUUAUUUGUAUUUAUCCUUUUAAAAGUUCACUCAGCUUUUUAAAUCUGUAGGUUAUAUCCUUUGCCAAACUUGGGAAGUCUUCGGCCAUUGUUUUUUCAGACUUUUUUUCAGCACUGCACUCUUUCUCUUGUCCUCUAAAACUCCAGAGACACAAACAUUAGAACUUUUAUUAUUGUCUUAUAUGUACCUGAAGCUCUACUAGAUUUUUUUCAACCUUUUUUCCCUCUUUUUUUGAUGUAUCUUCAAGU